UGGGGAAUAUUGCACAAUGGGCGAAAGCCUGAUGCAGCAACGCCGCGUGAGUGAUGAAGGUCUUCGGAUUGUAAAGCUCUGUCUUUUGGGACGAUAAUGACGGUACCAAAGGAGGAAGCCACGGCUAACUACGUGCCAGCAGCCGCGGUAAUACGUAGGUGGCGAGCGUUGUCCGGAUUUACUGGGCGUAAAGGGUGCGUAGGCGGAUGUUUAAGUGAGAUGUGAAAUACCCGGGCUUAACUUGGGUGCUGCAUUUCAAACUGGAUAUCUAGAGUGGCAGGAGAGGAGAAUGGAAUUCCUAGUGUAGCGGUGAAAUGCGUAGAGAUUAGGAAGAACACCAGUGGCGAAGGCGAUUCUCUGGACUGUAACUGACGCUGAGGCACGAAAGCGUGGGUAGCAAACAGGAUUAGAUACCCUGGUAGUCCACGCCGUAAACGAUGAGUACUAGGUGUAGGAGGUAUCGACCCCUUCUGUGCCGCAGU
rnacentral:rRNA from 1 species